rnacentral:lncRNA from 1 species
UGCGGGCUUCGGCCCCAGGCCGGCCCGGCCCUACGGAUGCAGGCUUCCCUUGGGAGCGCGUCCUGCCCACCCGAGUGGGCAGUGGGCCUCGUCCCGGCUCGGAAACGGAUUUACCCAGGAAGGCAGUUGUACUUAAAUUCACUAUAUUUUAAAAAGAGGUUCAUCGGGGUGUGAUGACACACCCCUGUAAUCCUAGCACUUGGGAGGCUGAGGCAGGAGGAUCACCAUGAAUUCGAGGCCAGACUGUACUACAAAGUGAGUUCAUUAUAUGUUUCUAUGUUAUGUAAUCACUGUAAGAGAAAUUAUUAGAGGUUUUAGGGUAGGUAGUAAAUAUUAAACUUGUAUAAACUCCCAAACAAGUUAUUUUGCAAGUUUUAAAUAAGAAACUUUGACUGUCCCCAUACCAAACAACAACAACAAAACAACAAAAAAAGAAUCUUUGAGCUUCCAGGAGCAUAAUUUUUUUUAAUAUUAGGUUUUAUGCUUGAAAUGGACAUGCAAUUCCUGAUCAAGACUUUAUAAUGGAAGUCUGGGGAUGUAGCUCAGUAGUAUAGCUCUUACCUAGCAUGUGCGAGGCCCUGGGUUCAAUUCUUAACACGAGAAAAAGUGUGUGUGCGUGAGUGAGGGAGGGGAGGAAGAAGAAGGAGAAAAAGAAAGGAAAAAUAUCUCUUCAAAGUUUUGAUUACUCCCAUUAUUAGACUUUGCUCACAUAAGUAGGUGAUAGGUCAAAAUCAUUUUUCUAAUCAUUCAAAACAAAACAAGUUAUAAAUACUGCAACCUGGGAGUCUGAGGAAG